rnacentral:lncRNA from 1 species
CGUGCCCUCGGAAUAAUUUCCCGCGAGACAGUGGAGGAGAGGGAAUUGGGCAGAGCUUUAUUUCUGGCUUGGUCGCCUCUCACUGCUCUUCUCUCUGGGCCGCUGGUGACGAGUUGGUCACCACGCUUCCCUCCAGCUCUGACGUGCGAGACUCAAUUCUGGGCCUAGUAUACACUAAGCGCUAGAAUGUGCUGAGUUAGUAAAGAUGUUGCACUGAAUCUCUGGGUGCUCCUGGCCAAGCAAUCCCAGCCCAGGUGAGCCACAGCUGCCUCCCUCUGUCUCUUGCUGGAGCAGGUCACACCACCGUUGUGACAGCCUUAGGGUCUCUUAGGUAACUGUGACUCCUAAAUUCCUUGCAUGCAACUUCCUGGUCACAUCGUCCCCUGGGCUCUCCUUAGAACAUUCUCCCCUUCGGCUUUCCCUGUGCUCCAUGCCACUGCGGGAAUGAAUCAGGGACUGAGCCUGGGUGGGGAGAGACCCUGGCCGGCCGCAGGGCAUUCGUGCCAUCGCAAGUCCUCGGGCUUUAGGCUGCAGCCCCUUCCUAGCCGGGCUCCUCUCAAGCUCUUGCCCCUGUUGACCACAGACCCCACUCGAGACCCUUCCACCAGGCACUCAUCCCUCGCGGCUGCCGUGCCUCUCUUCACAGGGUGUUCAGCUGUGGCUUCAUCGCCCGAGGGAAGUCAAGCUUUCCCUCUGCUCCUCGUUCCAGCCCUCUCUUCUCCUGCAUCCUGCGGCCAUCAGGCAGCUUUGGGCUAUCACAACCCCACACACCACCUCUCAGCGGCGGUAUUUCUCCCUGGCCUCCGUGAGUCCUGCUGGCAUGAAGAGGAGAGGAGCGAGCGUCGAGUACGGUUCCAGUAGUUACUUAGGGAUUUUCCGAGGCAGCAGAGACUGCUACCUGGACACCAAAAGUCUGCUUCCGUUUCCAGGGCACGGGGCUCGACAGUAUUUGCCAGCCUCCCAUGGAUUUAGCUUAUCACUGAGCUCUAGGCAAUGGAAUGGAAGUAAAAUCACCACCAUUUGAAGGAGCUCACCAGUGACCUGCCAACAACAGUGAGACUUGGGAGGUGGCAGCCUGGGAAACGCAAGGUGCCUGGACGGCAGUGAGGACAGCCCCCCACCAGGGAGAUGACGCGGCGUGGACUGUUCCAUCAGCAGGAAAUCAACCUGGAUUGCCAUACCCUAGCCCUGGCCCAGUUAACUCACUUCAAGUCUAAGAUCCCCUCCCUGGCUUUUAAGGUCCUCAAGAAUACACGACCUCCCCCAUCUGGCUUCCUCUCCCCCCACUCCCUCCUCGGCACCAUCCAUUCCAUGUGCUGGGCUGGCUUAGCCCCAGCAGCCCACUCGCGGUCAGUUGUUGAAGAGGCCGUUCUCUCCCAGCUGGGUGGGCUUGGUGACCUUGUCGACCGUGUAUGCGAGGAUCUAUAUCCAAACUCUCAAUUCAGUUCCAUUGGUCAGUAUGUCUGUCCUUGUGCCAAUACCAUGCCAUUUUGACCACUGUAGCUUUGUAGUGUAUUUUAAAGUCAGGUAGUGUUGGAAGCAGACUUGGCCCAAUGGAUUGGGCAUCCAUCUACCAUAUGGGAGUUCCACGGUUCAAACCCCGGGCCCCAUGUGGAGCUGGCCCAUACGCAGUGCUGAUGUGCGCAAGGAGUGCUGUGCCAUGCAGGGGUGUCCCCCUUGUAGGGGAGUCCCACGCGCAAGGAGUGUGCCCCGUAAGGAGAGCCACCCAGUGCGAAAGAAAGUGCAGCCUGCCCAGGAAUGGUGCCACACGCAUGGGGAGCUGACACAACAAGAUGACGCAACAAAAAGAAACACAGAUUCCCGUGCUGCUGACAACAACAGAAGCAGACAAAGAAGAACAUGCAGCAAACAGACACAGAGAACAGACAACCGGGGAAGGGGGGAAAGGGAGAGAAAUAAAUAAAUAAAUCUUUAAAAUAAAAUAAAGUCAGUUAGUGUUGAUAUGGGCUAGGUGUGGGGACUGUGUGUUUUUUCAUGAAUAACCUGGGCUGUGUGUGUAAGCUUGCUAAAAUUUAAGAUUCCAGCAUAAGCCAUGUGUGUAUGCAAACCAUAAGAACUGUAGCCCCGCCUUUCGUAACCAUGCCAACUGCUCCAGUCUGCCUAGCUCCCGGAAAGCCAAUUAAGUAAUACAAGCUCUAUAGGCUUUGUAUAUAUGGGAGGAUGCAGACUAAAUGUGUUAAUUCAAGCUUACCUGGAAUGUGGAGGAUAUGUGUUAAUUCAAGCCUAUCUGGUACUCAAAGCACCAUUUGACUUCCCACUCCUAUAUCCUCUGUAUAAAAGGGACCCAAAAAUCCUAUUUGGGGCUCAGCUUUUUGGACAACAGUCUGCCGUGCCUGGCCAGACUUUAAUAAAUUUUCCUUCCCCCAAAUAUUCCUGAGUCGUGGCCUUCCGUAUGCGAUCACUGAAUCUCUCUGCUUCCACAACAGUGUGACUCCUCCG